rnacentral:rRNA from 10 species
UAACUUUUAACAAUGGAUCUCUAGGCUCUCAUAUCGAUGAAGAACACAGUGAAAUGUGAUAAGUAAUGUGAAUUGCAGAAUUCAGUGAAUCAUUGAAUCUUUGAACGCACCUUGCACCUUUUGGUAUUCCAAAAGGUACACCUGUUUGAGUGUCAU